CAUUGUCGCCAUUCCAAGUCCCGAGGGGAAGAGAGAACGAGAGUGCGACGCUGGCUAACCAGGAAAGUCGAGGAGGCUUCGACCUAGGAAUUUAUCACCGCUACCGACAGCCAUUAAUAUGGCAUUGUGCGGCCGCGGACACCGGCAGUGGCUCGUCCAUCUUUUCGUGACGCGUUAACGACUGACCUUAACGGCCAAGGACAGCUUCUCGAGCUACGUGGUACACGCAAUUGUCACCACCGACUCGCGAUCCAGAUUCUCCUUCUGAUCGUUCGUCUCUCUAUAAUAGAUACGCGAAGCUCGAUCGAGCAUCAAAUCAUAUCGAAUAUCUUUUUACACGGUCGAUUCGAACAAAUUUACAUUUAGAGAUUUAUAAAAAAUCGGGAGAACGACGUCAUUUAUUUUUGAUGUGUAAUGGGAUUCCGAUUGAAUGACAGAUUGCUGUAAUUGUUAAUCGCGAUUGUCGAAGAAAUCUUUAUUGGUGAAUGUAUUUAUAGCGUAUUCGUUAACGAAUCGAAGAUUCCAUACGGUUUCCUUGUGCGGAAUGCUUUAUUGUUCAGCCUGUAGGUCUUUGACAUCAUUACGAUUAAUUGAACGAGAAUGGUAGAAUCAGAAGAAUCUAAUAGAUGUAUAUAAUCUCUAUUUAAAAGUUAAAGGAUUAAAUAAAAUAGAUUAUUUUAGAAAAAAAAAGGGAAGAAGUUUAUGCGUAUUAUAUUUAUUUUCGUUGGAAGAAAGCGAUGGCACUUUCAGAUUUUUAUCAGUAUCAAUUUACAAGCAAUACAAAUGAGAUGCGCGGCAUGUCGAUCAUACCGUAAGAUGGGGGUGAAGUCUAUGCGAAAUCCGACAAUUACUAAUUUGCCGAUGCUAGUAUAAGAUAUCCCGAUAAAUCUCACAUUAUCCUUCGCCUAUUGCUUCGUGUGAGUGCCGUUUAAUGGAGAGAACGUUUACUUAUAUUCGUCUAAGUAUACAUAUGGUGUCCUCCAGAAAUCCAUCAUAAUCGUUACCGACUGACGAUAUUCAACUAUCUCUCACUCUUCCGCCAUUUCAUAAUUCGAUAUAAUCUAACACGCGAACAAUUUUUUCGCUUAUGCUUAAAAAAAGUUUCGCUUCCUUAUUUAAAAUGAGAAUUGAUUUAUUCGAAACGCGUUAUAUUUCAUCGAAUUCACCGUGUAUGCGUGUAUGUUGCACGCGCUUGUCAAGAUCUAUGCGGAAACGCUUAACUUAUGAACUCAUCCGGCGGAUUGCCGGCAAUAUACCACAGGACCACGUGCGGCACACUGAAUAGAAACGUCUUUGGACCGAACGAUGCGGAUUCCCGCCGUUGGAUCUCUUCGUUUCCUGGAUCAUUGCCAAGGUGAAAACAUCGGUACGUCACAGUCACCGCGCAUGCGAUGAUUAAUGAUCGUUCGACAGUGCGUGGAGCGGAUCGAUGCUUCACUCGCACGUUACGACCAACCUAACCUCUACGUCUCGAGUAAUCCACUGCUACCGAUCGGUACCGCAAACAAAACUGUACUGGGAAUUAUAGUUCGGUGACCUGCUUCCUUAUAUAUCGUCGAAUAUAUUAACAUGUACUAUUUACAGAGAAUCGAUAACACUUUGUGAAAGAAUUCUUGAAGGAUUCAAAGAGAAUUCGAAAUUGUUGGAAAGGCAAAAUUCUUGGAAAAACUGUUAUAUUAAAUAUUCACGCGCGUAACACGGAAGUGCAGAAUCACGAUUUAAUGAUUUAUUUUACACGGGAACGAACACCUUCGUGUCGCGAAUCUUACUUUUCGUUUGCUACCUUGGACAAUAAGAUGUGGCAAGCGGAACAACAUUUUUGAAUUGCCUCGUUACCGAAACCGUGAAUUACGAUUGCUCCUGCCCUCUCGCGUCGCGGAAGCUUAUUAACAUUUUUUGCUCGGAGCCUUGGCAAAUAAUAACGCUUCAAAAAGCGCCGCAUACGAAUUAAAGUCGUUCGAGUAGCCCCGUAUACACGCGCGUAUCCGUAUAAAUUGAAACAUAUAUACGAGUCUCUUUCAAAUCGAUUUUUUUAUAUUUAAAUGGGGAACUAAUAUUAAUUGUUUCUGCACGCAAAUAUAUGUUUCGUUUUAUUUAAUUCGUUUUAUAAAGCUAAUUUAAGUCAUUCGCAAUCUCGAAACAAUAAACGAGCGUUAGUCAGAGGUUAGAUUGCAACGAAAAGCGUUCGUAUUUACGUAUCUUUGUUUUUUCUUGAAUUUUUGAAUAUCAUAAAACAUACUUUUCGAUUCAUCGCAAAUAAAAUUGAACGUACGUAAGAACUCGAUAUUGCGGUUCCAGAAAAUUGUGUAACUACGCGUGUGUACGGAUGGGAUAAAACGAUACCGGAAGGAUGUUGCGUAAACGGAAGUGCGUGCGAGGCUUUUUGUUUCUUCCAGCCUUAUUGAGGGAUGCACCUGACAACAAGUUGUCGAUACAAUGGCCCGGCUGGAAGUAGAGUGAAUGGAUAAAGGAUACGAAAAAUUACAAGUCUCCAAGAUCCGGACUUGCGUCAUAUCGUAUCCUGACCGCGGAUAAACGUCGUAAGAACAAUGACCGCCUCGAGCAGUGAAAAGAAAAGCAAGAAAAGCAAACCGCUAAUCGACCAAAAGUCGUUGAUUCGACAACUUUAUCUACACCAUAUGCAUAAUAUUAAAAUUUAAUUUUAUUCCAAAGGUACAAAGAAACCUGAUUCGAUCCCUCUAUCUUCUGUUCCCGAUGAAAACCUGCAGGAUACAAAAAAAUCAGAAGAAAAAAAGCAGAAGAAGGCUCAUUCAUUUCGUAAUCGCGAAAUCGACAGAAGCGGCAAUCCAAAAGAAAUCUCGAUCCAAAGAUGUUCACCCGACACAAUCGCAUAACCAUCGAACCACGUGGAACCCCCGCCUGAGUGGCAAGCGUGCACGUCACGAGGCACGCAAUCUCCGGGUCGUCCAUACGCACGAAAAUUAUAACAGACCCCCAAGAUACACUUUCUCUUCUUCUUUCCAUUCCAGCUUCCUCUCUUUCUCUCUCUGCCCCUGCCUCUCUCUGUCGACGAGGAUACCGGUAAAGAACGGGAGCAAACGCAACGUGAGAAGAAAGAGAUAAGAGGACGAGUGUUUAAAGGAGGAUUGCUUCCGCAAAAAUCGAGAAUCUCGAGGUGCAUUCGUUCGGAACUCGUUACACGUUCCGUAUGGCGGGUCCGGUGUGUCGCAGCAUCGGACUCGAAACUACAGGGUACGGAAACGAAGAGAAGAAAGAACACGUGAUUACACACAGGGGACCGAUCGUGCCGCGUGAACGUUUCUUCUUCUCCGAUCUUAGUCGGAAAUUUGUAUGGGCCUAAAUUUAGAGAAAGGGAAAACGAGGAGAGGGGAGGAGAGACUUAACUCCGUGGGAAAAUGGGAGAAAGGAAGGCGCGUCUCGCCAUCCAUCGCGACACCGAACUCCUUCCGAAGGUGGUGCGAUCGGGAAGAGAUCGGCGCGGCACAUCUGGCGCGCCACAUCCUGGCGGAAAGCACGAGUCAUCGGCGUGGCCUACAAUCGAAAAUAAUCGAAGACACUCACCGUGUCGUGGGAGAUUAAAGGAAAGGGGAGUAUCUUCCGUUCCGAUGAAGACGUUCCACGCGAUACUUUGUGUUGGGAAGUCGAUCAGUGGGUCUUCCCCGGUGGAUGGGUUUGCUUGCCCCAUUGUCGCAACAUCAAAGACUUAGCCCACGAAGAUUUAGCAUUGUCUAACCGGUAACUGGCCUUUAAAAGCCAGUUUAAAACGUUUAAAACGUGGCCACCCAGGUGGAGAAACGAAAACGAGGUAAACGUCGAGCAGCGAAUCGAUGAGAAAUAGAAUUUUAAAGGGGUGGGGGGAGAUUCACAUCAUUUUCACGCCGCUCCAAAUCCUUUUCAUUCUUUCAAAACAUCACGAUACGCUACGCUGUAUUUUCUUUUUCAGGGACUCGAGAGAAAGAGGAGGAAAGGUGAGGAGGAAAUUCAAAUUUUCGUUGGAGAAGAAAAAAGAAGAUAUCCGGAUUAUUUUAAAAUUUAUUUUCAAAGCAGAGCGUUGCUCAACGGGGUGUACACUUAUAUGGGGAAAAUGGAAGAGAAAUCUAUACACCGACCACCCAUCGUGACCGUGGUGGAAAGGUGAAUUAAAGUCACAAUGCGGCUACAGCUAUCUGGGAAUUUAGAAAUAAUGGAGUAGGGCAGAACACCGAUUCCAUCGAGCGACCAGGUAUCGACUUACGACCUCACGAGGAAGCUCCUUUCAUUAAAGAAAUUAUUUUUGACCCGUGCUACGCUUUACAAAAAAAAAAAAACACCGCACACGUGCAGAGCACACCUUUAUUUAUCGCGUCUUGAUUCGUGUCUCUCUACAAAUUGAAAUUAAUCAUCCCUUUGUUAGAAUGACAUGCAUACAUUCUUUUUACGAAGUCGAGAUGGAAGAUUUUGUGGGAAGGUGUGUAACGUCUCUAUUAUCAAAAUGAUCGAUAAAAAAAGGAAGGAAGGAAGGAAGGGGUGUGGGAACACGAUGGAGCUUUUGGAGUAUUGGACGAAAUAGGGACGGGGAGGAAGCGUGGGAGGAGCUGGAUCGACGCAAAAGCAUGGAAACCGAACUUAAAAAAAGAAGAGGCAAAGGGUGAUCGUGUGAACAGGUCCAGACUAGGUGGUCCCUCCUAGCCGAGUGGAUUUUCCCCUCAAUCGGAGAAAAAAGCACCGGUAGCUUAUCCCUACGGUCUACGGAUAAUCGCGGCUGGAAUCACACUAAUUUCAACCUGGGAGGUAUAUCUUUUUCUCCCUCCGCUGGAAGCAGGAAGUUGCACGUGUCGAAUCGCCGACAAUCGCGCACAGAUAUUAGUCCUUAGGUUUGCGUGGCUACCGAAAUGACAUCGCCUCUCCUUUCACAGGAAGAAAAGUGGAAAGAUGCGCAAACGAGGCUGCUUUCCAACCAGUCACCAUCCCCAAUCAGGAUCACGGACAUCCACUGUUGUUGUUAAUCCGACUUCGUCACUUCGAGAACAUUUUCACACUUUCUUCUCUACGAGAGUUCGAGCGACGAGAGUGUAGGAAGAUGGAAAGGUGAAGUACCGUUGCCGAGUUUAUUAUCACGGAUCUUUGGAUACGACUUACGUCCUGUCGUUGUCAAUGCAUCUCCAUAAAUCACGUGGCGUGGUGAAGAUCAAGGACGUGCUGAAACCACCUCGAGCGAUCGAUCAGUUGGCAAGAUGGCGGGAGAAUAAGGAGAAGGAGAAAGAGAGAGAGAGAGAGAGAGAGAGAGAGAGAGAGAAAGAGAGAGAGAGAAUUUAAUAAGUUGUAAAUUAAAAGUUCUCUUAACUGUCAUUUCCUUAUAGCCAAUCGAUGCUUGGUCACCGAUGCAUCCUGUCGUCGAGCAUUACAGCGCUUGUUCUGUACUGGCGAUACGGACAGUAACUGACUUUUUCCGUUUUUUAUCCGGAUAAAGUAUCUCUCCUUUUCUCUCGCUCAUAUUCCUCCUCCUUCGCUGCGUCACUUUUUCCAUACGCGUAAAUUUAGCCUCGUUAACCGUUACAAUAAUUUGUCGCAAUUUCCAUUAAAUUUAUACUAUACGAUCCUUCACAAAACUCGUUGUAUUUAUCUAUAUGCAUUUUUCUAGCCCACGUUUCUAUGGUUACGGAUUACGAUGGUAAGAGACGAUCGAUCGAGGAUGGACAAUUUUUAUCGUGGACAAAUUACUCUAGUCGUCAUUCGAGCGAAGAGUAUGAAUCUCAAUGAUAGAAGGAGUAAAUACAAUGAUAGCGUACAAAUAACGAACAGAGAGAGAAAGAGAGAGCGGCAAGGACUGUGUAAAAAUUGAGAUAUACGACGCCGUUACUAGGAUUGGAACUAAUUACCACCCAGAAGCGACGUCUAUACCUCUGGUAAUGGCGAACAAGAAGACUGACCCUCCUCGCGACUGUACAACCCGACCUCUGCAUCGACCUCGCCGAUUUAUAUCCUCGUAACAAGGUAAAAAAAGCUUGGAGGACAAAAGGGAGGAGGAAAGGGAGAGAGGAGACGUAUAAAGAGUAAGAUUCGUUUUGCAUGCGUAACAUGCGUUUUUCGUAGCUACCAUCGUUGCCUCGUCUUUAUUUAAUCGAUGUUAAGGGAAUGAAAAGAAACGACAAGUUUCUUGAUCAUUGAUUUAUUCUUUUCUUGUUCGUCAGGUUAGUUUUCUGAUAUUCAAAGGAUAUUCAGAAGUUAUAAAUGUCUUUAUAAUAAUAAAGUGAUUGGAUAUACAAGAUGAUAUAUUUGUGACAUAUUUUUGAAAAAGUGAAAAAAUUAUUUGUAUGGAAAUUUAUAAAGCGAGAUAGGAAUAGAGCGAUCUCACUUUUUUUCAAUUGUUUGUAACUUAUAAUAAAUAAACCUCAACCGAUAUUUUUAUACGAUUCUUGCUCUCAAGAAUCGAUCCUUCAAAUGUGUACGAAUGUAAUAACAUUCUGUAUAUUUCAUAUUGUAAUUAAAUAAAUAAUUUUCAAUCGAUAUUUUUUAAUAUCUCUAUGUAAUAA